rnacentral:rRNA from 1 species
AAGUGCUGAAAGCAUCUAAGCACGAAACUUGCCCCGAGAUGAGUUCUCCCUGACUCUUUAAGAGUCCUGAAGGAACGUUGAAGACGACGACGUUGAUAGGCCGGGUGUGUAAGCGCAGCGAUGCGUUGAGCUAACCGGUACUAAUGAACCGUGAGGCUUAACCUUACAACGCCGAAG